rnacentral:rRNA from 1 species
GUACACUCCUACGGGAGGCAGCAGUGAGGAAUAUUGGACAAUGGGUGGAAGCCUGAUCCAGCCAUCCCGCGUGCAGGAAGACGGCCCUAUGGGUUGUAAACUGCUUUUAUCUGGGGAUAAACCUACUUACGUGUAAGUAGCUGAAGGUACCAGAAGAAUAAGCACCGGCUAACUCCGUGCCAGCAGCCGCGGUAAUACGGAGGGUGCAAGCGUUAUCCGGAUUUAUUGGGUUUAAAGGGUCCGUAGGCGGACUGAUAAGUCAGUGGUGAAAUCCGACAGCUUAACUGUCGAACUGCCAUUGAUACUGUUAGUCUUGAGUAAGGUUGAAGUGGCUGGAAUAAGUAGUGUAGCGGUGAAAUGCAUAGAUAUUACUUAGAACACCAAUUGCGAAGGCAGGUCACUAAGUCUUAACUGACGCUGAUGGACGAAAGCGUGGGGAGCGAACAGGAUUAGAAACCCUUGUAGUCCCAU